GGCCGGAUGGUGUAGUUGGUUAUCACGUCUGCUUAACAUGUCAAUAUGUCGCAGAAGGUCGAGAGAUCGAGCCUCUCUCUGGUCA
rnacentral:tRNA from 1 species